rnacentral:lncRNA from 1 species
AACAAACCAGUAAGGUUGCUCAUCUUUCUAUUUCAUUCUUUGUACUGAUAAGCUCUUCUUAUAUUUACGAAAGCAUCUAACAAUGUUUUUUCUUUUUAUUUAUUAGUUUUACAGGUUUGGGAACUAAAAAGCCAAAUAGAUGAACAAGAAACGAAAGAUAGAGACUGCAACCCUAAACUGGAAUAGAGAAGAGGUGAAACAGGAAGCAGAGGAGAAAAGCCCCUAAACUGGAAGAGAGAGAAGAGGUGAAGGAGGAAGCAGAGGAGAAAAGCCCAUAAAUUUGGGAGAGAGAGAGGGUGAAGGAGGAAUCACAAGGAAAAUCUUUUUGAGUAGACUUGGAUAAGAGAGAAAGGGUGAAAAACAGAGGUUUAAAGAAGAAAGAUGAACAAUGAGAGAGAAGUAAUUUGGAAGACAG